rnacentral:rRNA from 1 species
GACGAACGCUGGCGGCGUGCUUAACACAUGCAAGUCGAACGAUGAAGCUGGAGCUUGCUCCGGUGGAUUAGUGGCGAACGGGUGAGUAACGCGUGAGCAAUCUGCCCUUGACUCUGGGAUAACUGCGGGAAACUGUAGCUAAUACCGGAUAUGAGGCUUGGAGGCAUCUCCAGGUCUGGAAAGAAUUUCGGUCAAGGAUGAGCUCGCGGCCUAUCAGCUAGUUGGUGAGGUAAUGGCUCACCAAGGCGACGACGGGUAGCCGGCCUGAGAGGGUGACCGGCCACACUGGGACUGAGACACGGCCCAGACUCCUACGGGAGGCAGCAGUGGGGAAUAUUGCACAAUGGGCGAAAGCCUGAUGCAUCAGCGCCGCGUGAGGGAUGAAGGCCUUCGGGUUGUAAACCUCUUUUAGCAGGGAAGAAGCGAAAGUGACGGUACCUGCAGAAAAAGCACCGGCUAACUACGUGCCAGCCGCCGCAGUAA